rnacentral:rRNA from 1 species
CUAGCUACAGGCUUAACACAUGCAAGUCGAGGGGCAGCAUGGUCUUAGCUUGCUAAGGCCGAUGGCGACCGGCGCACGGGUGAGUAACACGUAUCCAACCUGCCGUCUACUCUUGGACAGCCUUCUGAAAGGAAGAUUAAUACAAGAUGGCAUCAUGAGUCCGCAUGUUCACAUGAUUAAAGGUAUUCCGGUAGACGAUGGGGAUGCGUUCCAUUAGAUAGUAGGCGGGGUAACGGCCCACCUAGUCUUCGAUGGAUAGGGGUUCUGAGAGGAAGGUCCCCCACAUUGGAACUGAGACACGGUCCAAACUCCUACGGGAGGCAGCAGUGAGGAAUAUUGGUCAAUGGGCGAGAGCCUGAACCAGCCAAGUAGCGUGAAGGAUGACUGCCCUAUGGGUUGUAAACUUCUUUUAUAAAGGAAUAAAGUCGGGUAUGGAUACCCGUUUGCAUGUACUUUAUGAAUAAGGAUCGGCUAACUCCGUGCCAGCAGCCGCGGUAAUACGGAGGAUCCGAGCGUUAUCCGGAUUUAUUGGGUUUAAAGGGAGCGUAGAUGGAUGUUUAAGUCAGUUGUGAAAGUUUGCGGCUCAACCGUAAAAUUGCAGUUGAUACUGGAUAUCUUGAGUGCAGUUGAGGCAGGCGGAAUUCGUGGUGUAGCGGUGAAAUGCUUAGAUAUCACGAAGAACUCCGAUUGCGAAGGCAGCCUGCUAAGCUGCAACUGACAUUGAGGCUCGAAAGUGUGGGUAUCAAACAGGAUUAGAUACCCUGGUAGUCCACACGGUAAACGAUGAAUACUCGCUGUUUGCGAUAUACAGCAAGCGGCCAAGCGAAAGCGUUAAGUAUUCCACCUGGGGAGUACGCCGGCAACGGUGAAACUCAAAGGAAUUGACGGGGGCCCGCACAAGCGGAGGAACAUGUGGUUUAAUUCGAUGAUACGCGAGGAACCUUACCCGGGCUUAAAUUGCAGAUGAAUUACGGUGAAAGCCGUAAGCCGCAAGGCAUCUGUGAAGGUGCUGCAUGGUUGUCGUCAGCUCGUGCCGUGAGGUGUCGGCUUAAGUGCCAUAACGAGCGCAACCCUUGUUGUCAGUUACUAACAGGUUCCGCUGAGGACUCUGACAAGACUGCCAUCGUAAGAUGUGAGGAAGGUGGGGAUGACGUCAAAUCAGCACGGCCCUUACGUCCGGGGCUACACACGUGUUACAAUGGGGGGUACAGAGGGCCGCUACCACGCGAGUGGAUGCCAAUCCCCAAAACCUCUCUCAGUUCGGACUGGAGUCUGCAACCCGACUCCACGAAGCUGGAUUCGCUAGUAAUCGCGCAUCAGCCACGGCGCGGUGAAUACGUUCCCGGGCCUUGUACACACCGCCCGUCAAGCCAUGGGAGCCGGGGGUACCUGAAGUGCGUAACCGCGAGGAGCGCCCUAGGGUAAAACUGGUGACUG